GGCGACCCCACACCUCCGCCGCGCCUCACCGCCGGAGCUCCGUCCGCUCCGCCGCCUCGCCCCUCUCCUCCUUCCUCUCGAUCUCCUCUCACCUCUUUCUCUCUUUCUCGCUGAACAGGGACCUCCAGAAGGGCCAUGGCGCCACCAGCCCUUAAUCUCGCCGGAUCCGGCCGCCUGCACGCCAAAUCCGCCGGAAAUGGAUCCGUCCCGUCCAGAUCCGGCCGGAUCCGACCGGGCCCCGCCAUCCUCGUCACUGGAGCACCGCCCCGCUCGACCAACAGCGUCGGCGCUGUCUGUCCCUGCCCGCGUCUGCACGAGGACGACGCUCGUCCCGCUCGCUUGCAGCAAUCGCAUGGGCCGCCGCCCCAGCCGUCCCGGCAUCAAGCCAAGGCCCAGCCCAAGCCACAUCUUCUGCCGCUCCAUCAUUGCCCACCUUGAGAUCAGCCCCGACGCCACCACCAUCUUCAGAUGCGUACGCACACUACUUCCUUCUUCAAAUUGCUUCACCACAUCAUGCUGAAUUUGCAAACGGCCGCUCCUUACAUGUGUGAUCGAGAAGCAAGGUCAAGUAUGAGCAGGCUGUCAGCGUGUAGUGGUCGGAGAUGCCGUCGCAACUUACAUGUCGCAGUCGUCGGCUCCAUGCUAAGAUUACGAGGCUCUAUGGUUGUAUCGUGGUGUUCCAGUAGUAAACUUUCAGGCUGGUUAGAUAGGGGAUGAAGAUGAUGUAUACUACCUAACGGCCAUUGAGUAAUAAAAGGAGAUGGAUUGAACUACAUGAUUUAUGCCAUGGGAAUGAUGAAAAAUCUUUGAGUGAGGAUGUUGAAUAAUUCAGUCCUGAUCAAUGGCUUCUCAUAAAAGUCUUCCUGCCAGCAAGAGAGCCCUUGCAGAUUUACAGCUUUUAGUGUAAUUAUUACAGAGAAGACAUGCUUAGAGGGCCUAUAAUUUUACUAAGUGAACAUGUACUGAUCUCUACAUGCUUUUUAUUAGAGGUAAAGACGAUGCAUUGCCUAUCCAAGUCUCCAUACAAAUUUGUAGAUGCACAUGGCGUUUUAUCUAUCUGGCUAGCGUUUAUAUUCAAAACUCUUUUGUCCUUAUAUCUUUUCAGUAUCGCUUUCAUGUUUUACUAAGAUCUGUGCGGAAACAACAUGAGCCUUUGCUGCUUGGUCUGGGAUGGUGAAGUGGUGGUUGCAGUGGAAAUCGUUAAAGGGGGCACCGGUGUCCUCAGUUAUACGGUUACAGAAUAUAUGGAGUCAUGCCCAACGUUGCAAGGGAGCCUGUAGUGGGAGGCGACAAAGUAUUGGCUGUUACCAUAGUAUCCAUAAUGAGUUGUGUCAACACCAACCUCAGAGCUGGAAUAAGGAGUGCGCAUUCGCAUUGAUGAAACAACUUUCCCAUAGCCCGCUGCUACUGCCCACUACCACAAUCUUGCAUAGAUACUUUGAGGGCUGAAGUGAAUGAAUCUGGAAGUGCUUUAGUGAUUAAUGCUCUGUCCCAAGUUAAGCAUAUUCUACUUCCGGUCACUGGCCGCAAGCCUUACCUUUCAGUUCUAAUUCCUUGAGAUCACCACAGUUGUGAAUAUAGCCAUUGUUUCAACAGAACAAACCUAAGCUUAGCAUGAAAGAGAGUAUGAAAGUUCUGAUCUCUUCAAAAUAUGUGAGGGGCCUUGCUACCUUAGUUGUUGCAUAUGGCAUUAUAAUCAAUUUUGUGUAAGUCACAUGGAAAUCGAAGCUCAAGGCACAGUUCCCCAGUCCAAACGAGCACUCAUCUUUCAUGGGUGAUUUCUCUACCGCAACUGGACUUGCAACUUUCAUGAUGAUGCUGUUAGGCUGGAUUACAUUCCAAAGAUUUGGUUGGGGGGUGGCUUCCAUUAUCACCCCCAUAGUUUUGUGGUGACUGGCGUUGGUUUCUUCUCUGACUUUCAACAAGUGCAGUUCAUUGCCGCAGAGCAGUCUUAGAAGAUCCGUGCACAUGUAGCCUUAUUUCUUAUUCCAAAUUUCAUCAUACAAAAAAAAUACUCAGUGUAACCUCAUUUCUGAUGUUUGCGAAAAUUAGAUUAUAAAAAUGUUGCAUAAUG